CUCAUAGCGUAUAUUAAGUUGUUGCAGUUAGAACGCUCGUAGUCGGAUUUCGGGGCAGUCCGACCGGUCUGCCGAUGGGUAUGUACUGGCCGGAGUGUCCUUUUUGCCGGAGACCGUGCCUACUCUUAACUGAGCGGGGGCGGGAGACGGCACUUUUACUUUGAAAAAAUCAGAGUGUUUCAAGCAGGCAGCUCGCUCUUGCAUGGAUUAGCAUGGGAUAAUGAAAUAGGACUUUGGUGCUAUUUUGUUGGUUUCGAACACCGAAGUAAUGAUGAGAAGGGACAGUCAGGGGCACUCGUAUUCCGCAGAGAGAGGUGAAAUUCUCAGACCCGCGGAAGACGAACCACUGCGAAAGCAUUUGCCAGGGAUGUUUUCACUGAUCAAGAACGAAAGUUAGGGGAUCGAAGAUAAUCAGAUACCGUCGUAGUCUUAACCAUAAACCAUGCCGACUAGGGAUUGGAGGAUGUUCACUGAUUGACUCCUUCAGCACCUUACGGGAAACUAAAGUCUUUGGGUUCCGGGGGGAGUAUGGUCGCAAGGCUGAAACUUAAAGGAAUUGACGGAAGGGCACCACCAGGUGUGGAGCCUGCGGCUUAAUUUGACUCAACACGGGGAAACUUACCAGGUCCAGACAUUGUGAGGAUUGACAGAUUGAGAGCUCUUUCU
rnacentral:rRNA from 1 species